rnacentral:rRNA from 1 species
CGAGUGGCGAACGGGUGAGUAACACGUGAGGAACGUGCCCUUGACUUUGGUAUAGCACUUGGAAACAGGUGGUAAUCCCGAAUAUUCAGUUUCCCGGGCAUCCGGGUUGUUGGAAAGCUUUUUGCGGUCAGGGAUCGUCUCGCGGCCUAUCAGCUUGUUGGUGGGGUAGUGGCCCACCAAGGCCUUGACGGGUAGCCGGCCUGAGAGGGCGACCGGCCACAUUGGGACUGAGAUACGGCCCAGACUCCUACGGGAGGCAGCAGUGGGGAAUAUUGCACAAUGGGCGGAAGCCUGAUGCAGCAACGCCGCGUGCGGGAUGACGGCCUUCGGGUUGUAAACCGCUUUCACCCAUGACGAAGCGCGAGUGACGGUAGUGGGGGAAGAAGCACCGGCCAACUACGUGCCAGCAGCCGCGGUGAUACGUAGGGUGCGAGCGUUGUCCGGAAUUAUUGGGCGUAAAGAGCUUGUAGGCGGUUGAUCGCGUCGAUAGUGAAAUCCCGGGGCUCAACCUCGGGCUUGCUGUCGAUACGGGUUGACUUGAGGAAGGUAGGGGAGAAUGGAACUCCCGGUGGAGCGGUGGAAUGCGCAGAUAUCGGGAAGAACACCGGUGGCGAAGGCGGUUCUCUGGACCUUUCCUGACGCUGAGAAGCGAAAGCGUGGGGAGCAAACAGGCUUAGAUACCCUGGUAGUCCACGCUGUAAACGGUGGGUACUAGGUGUGG